UGAUUUUUAAGGGGAAGCACACUAAUGGGGGCUCAUGAACUAUGGUUUUAAAAGGUUAGCCUCAUAUAGAUCUGACCCAUAAGUACAUAUACAAAUUGGAAAAGUAGCCCAGAGGAGGUGUUGUACUUGAACACAUGUCACAGGAUUAUGGUAGGGAGAAAAUUAUGUAAACCUUAAGCAAAUUAGAAAUAUGAGGUAUUUGUCACUAGGGGAGUCAGCAGAGGACCAUCUGCAGGGCAAGUGAUGCUGUGAUGUCACUAUGCUUAAUACCUUUCUGUUUCCCUAAAGUCAAAGCAGGGCCAUAUGCUUCACAGGACUAUCCCAGGCUGGCUGUACUCAUUAUAUCCCACUGGAAUGCUGUUUGAUCAGUAUUUACAUCAUAGCAAUAAGAGUUCCACUAAAUUUCUUGUGAAAGUAUCCUGAGUCACUACAUUCUGAACAGGUGGAUAAAAACCAGAAAUUUAGACACUAAAACCUGAACCCUAAAUCAAGGGACCUUAUGAUGUAAGGCAAGGAUCUAGUCCAAUGCCUAAUUUUAUGGAUGAAGCUAUCAAGGCUUAGAAAAGUUAAAGUGACUUUCUGAGUCAUAUUGUAAAUAACAGAGCUAGGAUUGGAACACAGAUCCUCUAAUAUCAAAUGCAUUGUGUUUUUUUCCCCCUUAUGGUACCAUAAUGAUUCCAGUUUGAUUUAUAAUAGGAAACUAUUUAAGGACCCACAACAGCUGCUGUGUGCAGCCCCUCUAACCCCUAGCCAAACAACGUUUAACUUUGGAUUCAGUGGAAAAAUGAGCUGCAUUGACCUUCCUUUUCCAAAAUCGAACUCAGGGGCAGAUCGACUUGAAAUGAAUAUAAAUGAGGAUUAAUUUUUACCUGAUCAAGUGGGCCAAUAAUGGACAUUUCUAUUGAUCUCCUCCCAGGAAGCCAAUUAUGCAGAUGAGAUGUUCUGAUCACGCAAAAGAAAUACUGCAGGUAGUGUAUUAAUCGCCUUCUAUCGAUCCCGAGAAAGUUCACGUGGGAAGAGCAAGGAAUAGU
rnacentral:lncRNA from 1 species